UCAAAACAGAAAAUGUGUGUCAGUCUGUUUCUUGUGAAAACAGUGAACAACUUGUGAACAUUUCUGAAUUAUAAUAUAUGGAGUGGAGCCUAGUAGUUAGAGUGUUGGGUGGCAGGUAGCCUAGUGGUUAGAGCGUUGGGUGACAGGUAGCCUAGUGGUUAGAGCGUUGGGUGGCAGGUAGACUAGUGGUUAGAGCGUUGGGCGGCAGGUAGCCUAGUGGUUAGAGCGUUGGGCGGCAGGUAGCCUAGUGGUUAGAGCGUUGGGCGGCAGGUAGCCUAGUGGUUAGAGCGUUGGGCGGCAGGUAGCCUAGUGGUUAGAGCGUUGGGCGGCAGGUAGCCUAGUGGUUAGAGUGUUGGGCGGCAGGUAGCCUAGUGGUUAGAGUGUUGGGUGGCAGGUAGCCUAGUGGUUAGAGCGUUGGGUGGCAGGUAGCCUAGUGGUUAGAGCGUUGGGUGGCAGGUAGCCUAGUGGUUAGAGCGUUGGGCGGCAGGUAGCCUAGUGGUUAGAGUGUUGGGCGGCAGGUAGCCUAGUGGUUAGAGUGUUGGGCGGCAGGUAGCCUAGUGGUUAGAGUGUUGGGCGGCAGGUAGCCUAGUGGUUAGAGCGUUGGGUGGCAGGUAGCCUAGUGGUUAGAGUGUUGGGCGGCAGGUAGCCUAGUGGUUAGAGUGUUGGGCGGCAGGUAGCCUAGUGGUUAGAGUGUUGGGCGGCAGGUAGCCUAGUGGUUAGAGUGUUGGGUGGCAGGUAGCCUAGUGGUUAGAGCGUUGGGUGGCAGGUAGCCUAGUGGUUAGAGCGUUGGGUGGCAGGUAGCCUAGUGGUUAGAGCGUUGGGCGGCAGGUAGCCUAGUGGUUAGAGUGUUGGGCGGCAGGUAGCCUAGUGGUUAGAGUGUUGGGCGGCAGGUAGCCUAGUGGUUAGAGUGUUGGGUGGCAGGUAGCCUAGUGGUUAGAGUGUUGGGCGGCAGGUAGCCUAGUGGUUAGAGUGUUGGGCGGCAGGUAGCCUAGUGGUUAGAGUGUUGGGCGGCAGGUAGCCUAGUGGUUAGAGCGUUGGGCGGCAGGUAGCCUAGUGGUUAGAGCGUUGGGCGGCAGGUAGCCUAGUGGUUAGAGCGUUGGGCGGCAGGUAGCCUAGUGGUUAGAGCGUUGGGCGGCAGGUAGCCUAGUGGUUAGAGCGUUGGGCGGCAGGUAGCCUAGUGGUUAGAGUGUUGGGCGGCAGGUAGCCUAGUGGUUAGAGUGUUGGGCGGCAGGUAGCCUAGUGGUUAGAGUGUUGGGCGGCAGGGAGCCUAGUGGUUAGAGUGUUGGGUGGCAGGUAGCCUAGUGGUUAGAGCGUUGGGUGGCAGGUAGCCUAGUGGUUAGAGCGUUGGGUGCCAGGUAGCCUAGUGGUUAGAGCGUUGGUUGGCAGGUAGCCUAGUGGUUAGAGUGUUGGGUGGCAGGUAGCCUAGUGGUUAGAGCGUUGGGUGCCAGGUAGCCUAGUGGUUAGAGUGUUGGGCGGCAGGUAGCCUAGUGGUUAGAGUGUUGGGCGGCAGGUAGCCUAGUGGUUAGAGUGUUGGGCGGCAGGUAGCCUAGUGGUUAGAGCGUUGGGCGGCAGGUAGCCUAGUGGUUAGAGUGUUGGGUGGCAGGUAGCCUGGUGGUUAGAGUGUUGGGUGGCAGGUAGCCUAGUGGUUAGAGCGUUGGGUGGCAGGUAGCCUAGUGGUUAGAGCGUUGGGUGGCAGGUAGCCUAGUGGUUAGAGU